AACAAAACAAAACAAAACAAAACAAAAAAAACAAAACAAAACAAAACAAAACAAAACAAAACAAACCAAGGAUGGGGUAUAUUUCAGAUCUUGGACUUGGAAGCCUCACUCCAUCAUGGCAGAGUGUUUGGCAGAGCAAAGCAGCUCACAUCACGGUCCAGGAAGCAGAGAGAGUGGGGUGUCGGCACUGUGCUGGUCGACACAGAUCCCCAUGGGAUGGUUCUCCCUUACCUUCAGUACCCUCUCCUUAUUCUUCUCUGGAAAUGUUCUUCCUCAGUCUUUUGGGUAAUUCCUAAGAUAAGCUGACAGUGACAAUCGGGAUCACAUGUACCAAAGAGUGUUUAACUGGAAGGAAGAAGUUACUGCUGGCUGCUGAAGUAACUUAGACAUGGAGCCCCGGGCACUAUUGGUGACACUUGGACAUCACAGGUGCAUUAAGUAUUUGCUUGUCCCGUGUCAAGGCAUAAAUAGAUUGUGUGUGUGUGUGUGUGUGUGUGUGUGUGUGUGUGUGUGUGUAUACAUGUGCACAUGUGGGCACUUGCAUGUGGAGGCCAGAGGUUAAUCUCAAGUGUCAUUCCUCAGGUACUGUCCCCCCUUUGUUUUUGAGGCGGUGCUUCUUACUGGCCUAGAACUCAUCAAGUAGGUUAGGUUGACUGAGCAGUGAGGCCCAGAGAUCCAUCCUCCUGUCUCUGUGUAUGUCCUCAGCGCUGGGAUUGCAAGCAAACUUCAAUACACCCUGCUUAUUUACAAGGUCAUGGGGAUGGAAGGCAGAUCUUUGUGCUUGGCACGGCAAACUCUUCAAUGACUUAUAUGUACUUUACUGACUUUCCAGAAUCAUAUGUAUUUUUUUCCCACGAUGCUUUGGUCCACUUCAACGGUCAGUCUGCAUCCAUCUGUAGAAUAAGGGAGUGACUUCAGAACACAAAAGGACCCUGGUACAUUGGAAUUCACGUGGAUGGUGGUGCAAAACCCUGAACAGUGCCAGGGCGUGGCCACACUCCUUUCUUAUUUGCAGUGUGAGGCAGCUUUGAUGUUCGGUGUUUGAAACUGUAUGGGGUGCGGAGCUUCUCUCAGAUAGUUCGUAGCCCAGAAGGCGCAGGCUGUAUGGGACUCCUGGGAUGCUGAACUAUUUAUUCAGUGUAACUUCUCAGAUCGUUUUCCUGUGACAUUCAAAUUUUCUCCUAGUCAGUGCGCUAUGCGUCGUCUCUGACGCUGGACUAGAUAGGAAUCUGUUAGGAAAUUAUUUUUUUAUCUGCCUCGCUAUCUACUGGCAAUAAUGGAGUCUAUAAAAAUCUGGUAUGUCCUAAACGUUUUAUUCAAGUCGGGGAGGAAAAUGCUUCCUGGUGUCUGCCGGCUUCGGUUUCAUGUUUUAGAGACUGAGCUAGCUCAUUUUUAAUGAAUAUAUAAAAUGGCAUCUUCUUUCAAAUAGUGGACAUAGUUAAAUUUGUAGAUUUAAGUGAAUUGUGUUUGGGCAGUAUUCUGCCCAUGUGCAGAUGUAGGAGCUUAGUAAACAUUUUUCACCAUGGGUGUGCAUUGUGUUGGUAUUCAAUACCAAGGAAUGACUCCUCCGUUUCUUUCCUCUCUUCCUUCCUCUCUCUGUCAUUCUCAAAAUUCCCCUAAGAGGGUUGGGGAGAAGGCUCAGUUGAUAAACUGUUGCACACACAUGAAGAAACAUCCAAUGUCAACAUGAGUGCAUACAAGCACACACACAUACAUGCACGCACACGGAGGUAGGGUCACACAUGUACAUGUGGGCCUACAUACACAUCCCCCACACAUAAUUGCCUAAAGAGUGUUUUGAAGGUUGUGCAAAUACUGUAACCCAGAACAGCACACUUCAAGAGCUUAUCCAAACUGUUUCACUCUGUCAGCAGCUUAUCAAAUAUUGAAUAGGAAAUAUUUCAGAUGUUAUCUGAUUUUAUGCAGUAGAUAUGUUUUCAAAGUCAGUAGUUGGGUGCAUAUAAAAUAUUCACAUCAUUGGAGUUAAUUCUUUUUUAUGAUUUAUUUUAUGUGUGUGGAUGUUUUGUUUUAAUGUAUUUCUGUGCACCAUGUAUGCAUGUAGUAUCCUCAGAGGCCAGGAACAGGAAUUAUAGAUGGUUAAGAGCUGCAGUUUGGGUGCUGGGAACCACACCCAGGUCCUCUGCAAGAGCAACAAGUGCUCUUAAUCACUGAGCCACCUCUCCAGGACCUAUAAUUCAUCCUUCACACCCAGGGAAAGAUGGUGCUGUGGAUGGAUAAAUACCUUUGUCCUAGACAAUGUUUUAUCUGGUGCUUAUCAGAAGACAUUUGCAGAGUUUCAGUGUGGCACCAAGAAGUAGAAGCAAGGGGCAUUUUCUGCUGUGCUAGGUCUAAAAUGUCCCCUCAAAGUCUCGUGUGUUCAAAACUUGUUCCUCAGCUCAAGGGGCCUUUAGAAAGCUCUGAUGCAGUCGGUGGUUGGACUAGUCUACGAAUAGAUUUAUGAUUUGAUGGCGCCAUUGGCAGGUGCAGGAGGCCAGGAGGUAGAGCCUGAUUGGAGGAAGGGAAAAGGGAGAACUGCCCUGGAAGGUCAAGUUCUAACUGAGGACCCUUCCUUCUCUCUUCCUCCUGCCUGUCGGGAAGAGAGAAACCUCUCUCCUUGCCUCUCUGCAAUGGCGUUUCUGCCUUACCAGCAGUCUAAGGACAAUGGGGCCAGCCACGCAUGGACCUCAGACCUGCCAAACUGUGAGCCAGGGUAAACCUUUCCUCCCUUAAAACACUCUUUUCUGGGGUGCUUGUUACUGCAGCAGAAAGCUAACACGCACACUUCCUGCCCAGCCCCAGCAUCACCAUUUCCUGGUGAGCCGUGCAGAACACUGACUGCAUGGAAUUCCAGAUUCAUCUCCUGGGGUGGCUCUUCUGUGAGUCCCCUCAAAGCAGGUGAUAUAAUAAUGGCAUAUACGCAUCCUUCACUUGCAAAUGCGCAUCCAUUUACUCACAGAUCUACUCACCAUUUAUCAUUGUUCGUUUCUUCGGUCAUUAGAACACCCGACACACACCGCUUCAACAGGAUAAUAAUUACACCCAUUCCUAAAGUCGAGGUGUGCUGUAUGUGAGGUACAGUCACUCUUCUCAAUCUACAAAUCUGAUUGGCUCCUGUGCCUUCUCCUCUUGCCUUGAGUCACCUCACAACUGUACUACAUGCCUAUUGGUAUGUUUUAAAAAAAUAUUUCCCUAAGUAUCUUGGGGUUAAUUUAGAUCAACAAUGACAAACCACAGACUAAUCUCUAUAGCCUAUAAGUAAUACUACGUGAUGCUCUCUUAUAGGGUCCAUCGUAACUAGUUAGAGCCAGUAUGAAAAAAGGGUUAGAGGGACAUAGGUAGGUAGGGGUUCUGUGAGAUGGCAACUUCUUGUUCACAGAAAACAUUGUAAGGACAGAUGACGGAAAGGCAUGGGUGUGAGUAUCUGUCUUAGUCAGGGUUUCUUUUCUUUUCUUUUCUUUUCUUUUCUUUUCUUUUCUUUUCUUUUCUUUUCUUUUUUCUUUUUUGUUUUUUGUUUUUUUCGAGACAGGGUUUCUCUGUAUAGCCCUGGCUGUCCUGGAACUCACUUUGUAGACCAGGCUGGCUUCAAACUCAGAAAUCCACCUGCCUCUGCCUCCCAAGUGUUCGGAAUAAUCCACCCACCCGGCUCUUAGUCAGGGUUUCUAAUCCUGCACAAAACAUCAUGACCAAGAAACAAGUUUGGAAGGAAAGGGUUUAGUUCACUUACACUUCCAUGUUGCUGUUCAUCACCAAUGGAAGUCAGGAUAGGAACUCACACAGGCAAGAGCUUGGAGGCAGGAGCUGAUGCAGAGGCCAUGCAGAGGUGCUGCUUACUGGCUUGCUUCCCCUGGCUUGCUCAGCCUGCUUUCUUAUAGAACCCAGGACUAGCAGCCCAGGGAUGGCACCACCCACAGUGGUUCCUCCCAUCCUUGAUCACUAAUUGAGAAAAUGCCUUACAGCUGGAUCUCAUGGAGGCAUUUCCUCAAGGGAGGCUCCUUUCUCUGUGAUAACUCCAGCUUGUGUCAAGUUGACACACAGAACCAGCCAGUGCAGUGUCUAACAGACAAACAGGGGAAGGAGAGAGCCAGAGGCUCUAUAUAAUGAACCCAAGCCAGGGUCCAGUUAGCAGACUUCCAGAUUUAGGGCCCUUCCCAUCACUUCCUUCUGCUUAGUCUUUCUCUAAGGUUCAGUUCUCCAUCCAUCCCAUGGAUCAAGCUCUAGGGUCCCAUAGCCCGGCCAGCACUCCAAUUACAAAUGGAGGUUUAUACGUCAGUGAACACUCUUUCUUUCUUCUUAUGUAAACUUUUCUUAUGCUGGGACCAGAAUUCUCAUCUGUUAAAGGAGCCAAAAAAUCAGGCAUAUUUCUCUUUCUCGUGAAAUUAUGUAACAAUGAAGACAGCCAAAAGACUGGGUCAAUGGGAUUCAGCUCCACUUUUCUUCCUGGCAUUUUAUGUUGCAAGCAUUCUAGCCUUUUGGCAAAGCCUGAGAAAGCUAACCUGAGACCUGUUAACAAGAACACCAACAAUAACUCAAGCAGGUUGAGAUGCACUCUCGGAAUCGCUGCUCUGGGCUGGGCACCUGAGCAUCCUCUCUUUGUGCUUUCUGCAGUUCCUUUAGGUGAAACCUCCAAGUCCACAGUUGUGACCAUCUGAAGGGAUUCUCAAUGUUGAGCCUAAGAACGGCAGCACUUCUCCAAUUCCUGAGACUUGAUAGGAGUAAUGUUUCUAGUGCAUGUCUGUGUUCAUUUGUCUUUGAAACCCAAGCAUCUUGGAUCAGCAGCUCCUUUCUUUGGCUAAUCUUGGAAUCACUUCUCCACAGGUGCGAGUGUCUGGGACCAACAGACUUAGCUGUGCUGGCCAGCACAGGAUGCAAUUGGGCUUCUCGAGUUGCCCAUUAUUGGGCUUCCAUCUUCCUGAUUGCUUACCUCUUUUUCUUUUCUUUAUCCUGAGCACAUGGAAAUCUAGCUGGUCACAGGGCAUCCACAGGCAGGAAGCAGCUAGUCACAGGGCAACCACAGGCAGGAAGUAGCUGGUCACAGGGCAACCACAGGCAGGAAGCAGAGAGAUGAAGGCUGGUGCUCAGCUCCCCAUCUCAUCUCUAUUCAGUCCAGGAUCCCAGCUCAUGAAUGGUGCUGCCCACAUUCAGGCAUGCUUUCCCCUCCUGACCUAGAGGUGCGUCUUCUAGGCUCUUAUAAAUCUCAUCAACCUGUCGGUGAAGAUGAAUACAACCGUGCCUACAGAACCCCCUGCCUCUACUCCCUCUAGACCCUGACAAGUCACUGUCCCUUAAACAGUUCAGAGACACAUGCAGAUUGCCUUGUUCUUUUAGUGGAGGAAAUCUACUUUUCUGGCAAUUUAGACUUCUAGCCCAUCUCACCAGCUGGUUUAGCUUUUCGUGCCCUGAAACACAAGAGCAUGUCCAGACAGGACCUCACACCAGUCCCCACUGCCCGAUCACACUCUCCUUCACCCCGUGUCUGUCUGUCCUUCCCCUGAAUAGCUCCCUUUGCUUCCGUGUCACACACACAUUGUGUUGCCUUUUCUUUUUCUUUUUCUUUUUUUCAGGAUUUGUUGAUUUUUAUGUGCACUGGUGUUCUGUCUUUGUGUCUGUGAGAGGGUGCCAGAGUCUCUGAAACUGAAGUUAGUUACAGACAGUUUAGCUGCCAUGUGGUUGCUGAGAAUUGAACUCCGGUCCUCUGGAAGAGCAGCCAGUGCUCCUAACUGCUGAGCCUCCUCUCUAGCCCUGAAAUUCCUUUCUUGGUCUCUCCCUUUAGAUCUCUCCCUCUGCUUUCACAGUGUGAUUUCUGCUGUCAUGCUCUACCCCCCCCCCACACACACACACUAGGUCUUCUGCUAUCAUGCCGCACCCCCACCCUCACCCCAACCCCCACAUACUAGGUCUGGCUUAUUUCAUCUAACACAAUGGUCUCCAGCUCCACCCAUUUCCCUGCAAAUGACAGAAUUUUAUUCUCCUGAAUAAAACUCCACCAGUUGUACGCAGAUGUGUACACUGAACGUGUACUGCAUUUUUUUUUUAUGCAUUCAUCUAACCUGGCUCCAUUUCUAGGCUGCUGUGACUAGAGAAUCAGUAAGCAAACGUGUGUUUAUUUCUGUGUUAACUUGUGGGUUUGUCUUGAGUUUUAUCUGUGAGAUAGUUUCUUAGACGUGUAAUUCGUGAGUCGGAGGAUAGGCAAGUUCAUGUUACCAGUGUGCAACUCGGACUUUACAGUUCACACUACCCCAGCCCCUCAUCCACUGGGCACAAAUCGAUCUUCAUUCCUUCUCUCCUCCAGCUUCUACCACCAGGAACACCAGCCUGCCAUGCUUCCAUUUAGCGUAGGCAGCUGAAAGAGUCAGGGAGGCAAAUUGUUCUCUUUCCACACACCUUAUAUGGAGGUAACUAAGGCACAGAGUCCCUGAGAGAUUGCCUCUCCCCAGUUUCUGUAACUAUGGUAUUUCUGCCCCUCAGUGACUGUGGGCUGAUAUUGUCAUCGUGCUUCGAGGUACAUUAGGACCCUUUGCAAGAAACCUGCUUCACCAGGGUUGGUGUCGUCUCACGCUAACUUAGCUGCUGGUUCAAGCACGCAGGCUUGUAAUCACAACUGUGGCUAAAUAAAUAAUCACCAAUUUCACGAGAGGCCAUUCCGCUACAGCAAGAUAAGUUAGGGAACACUCCAGAAAGACUGGCUCGCCUUGGAGUGCCUCUGGCAUCUAGAACAGCGGCUGAUGGGUUUGUGGAAACAGUCAGUUACAUUUUUAUGAGACUUUAAAAAAAAUCAGUUAGUGUUUGAGUUGAAUUUUUAAUCACGGUCAAAAAUUCACAGUUUUAGCCCAGGAUCGAUCCUGAUAAAGCCAGCUCUGCCUCGUUCCCGACACUGUUAAAAUGCCUGUUGGGGAAUCACCUUUACACACUACCCCAAGAGAAUACUUUCAUCUACCAUUAUCUUUGAAGCUGCUGGUAGGUGACCUGUGGGGCUAAUUGCUUCUUGUUUCUUAUGCAAAGGUGUUGAAAUGCAUGUAGCCUAGUCUGUCCUCACAUUCAGAGUGCUCCUAAAACUGCAUUUUAAAAAAAUUAUUUCAUUGAAUCAUAGAAAACCCAGCACUCUGUUAAUACAUGCAAUUGGGUGAAUUUGAGCAGGCACAUCUGUGGGACUGUUACCACCCUGAAAAAAAGAAACAAUGUCCAAUCCCUCCGAUUGUUUCCAUCUCCCGUGGGUGUCCUGUAAACUCUUUUAACAAGAAUUCUAUCCUCUCUGGGCUCGUUUGGUUUGGUUUUGCAUUUUUGAGCUAUUCUGUAGCCCAGGCUGGCCUGGAACUUGAAACAGUCUUCCUGCAAAAGAUUCUCCCUGUGGUAAAAGACUGAAUUGUGCAGAGUGGCAGAGGAGAGGUCAAAGUCUAUAUGCAUAUGUGAAGUGCCUCUCAUUCCAGAAGCAAAUACAAAUUAUGUCAGGGGCAGGAAGCUCAUAGAAACAGCUGUCUGGUUAAUGGUGAACCACACUGUUAGCACUGUGCUAGGGUUAGAUGUUGCUACUGGAACAUGCCUCUAUCUGUGGCAAUGGAAGAUUAAUGACUGCCCAUUCUACGUCCUACAAGGCAUUUGGCUUUGUGCUUGGAGAUUAUAAAAUAUGUAAUAGGCAAAAGAUGGUAUGUUGGCUAUUCUUAUGUCAGCUCGACACAACCUAAAGUUACCUGAAAGGACGGAAGCUUAAUUAAGAAACUGCCUCCAUAAGAUCUGGCUGAAAGACAUUUUCUUAGUUAGUUAUUGAUAGGGGAUGGUCACUGUGGGUGGUACCAUGCCUGGCCUGGUGGUCCUAGGUUUCAUAGGCAAGCAGGAUGAACAAGCCACUUGUGCUCACCCUGCAGUGCCAGCCGCUCAAGCCGCUCUCUUCCAAAGCAGAGUCUCUUGGUCAGAUUCCUUUUGUUGCUCCACAAAAAAACAGGGUCUGUGCUCACUUUAAGCUCGGGGAAUUCUGACUGAAUCAGAAGACAUCAACGACUGACUUUCCUAAUGGCCUAAAUCUUUGUUUGACCUUUUUAAUAGAGUAUGUUUUAAAUUGAUUUUAAUUAAUUUUAAUUGAUUUUUUUGUGCAUUUUACAUCAUGCACUUGAAUCCCACUCACCCCCCCUUCCUCCAUAUCCACCCUCCACCCCUGCUGCCUCCCCUGCCCACACAAAGAAAACAAAACCCAAAAAGAACAAAACAAACACAAAAAUCUCACCGUGGAAACCGCAGUGUGGCACACAGUAUAUACCCUUUUGUCCAAACAGUUUUACUUUUGGACGCAAAUAAUCAUUACGACGAGUCUGUUUGAGGCCCUGGCUUCUGCUACACUAUCAUUCCUGGGUCCUCACUGGGACUCCUCUCAGAUAUUCUGAUGUUGCCCUAUGUCACGGAGAUUCUGCAUCUUUGGUUCUGCAGGGCUGGGCCCUCCACAAGCUCCAGUUCAUACAUGGGGUAGAUGCUGGGGUGGGCCGACUUAUGGCCCUGGAUCUAGGCCUGGGUGGCAUCUGAGUUGGUCAGUUCUGCAGCUCUCUGUGACAGUGCCACCAGGGCCAGCUCUCCUACUUUGCCCAGGCAAGGGGUGGGGCCAACUCUCCAGAGUGCUACAUCCAGCAGAGUUCAGACCCUUGGGGCCCGUGGUGUCUGCACCCAUGCCACCAGGGCCAGCUCUCCAGCCCUGCCCCAGCUGUCUCAUCCACUCCCCUACCACUGCAUGGCUGAUGAGGGGCAGGGCUGGCUCUCCCUCUCUCAUGCCUUCAGCCACUUCAGAGCAGCCCCUGCCACCAGAGCCAGCUCCACUGGCUGUUCAGGCAAGGUGCAGAGCCCACUCUCCCAAGUGCUGCCCCUGGCAUGUG
rnacentral:lncRNA from 1 species